CAGCCGCCGCGGGAAUACGAAGGGGGCUAGCGUUGCUCGGAAUUACUGGGCGUAAAGGGAGCGUAGGCGGAUCGUUAAGUUGGGGGUGAAAGCCCGGGGCUCAACCUCGGAACUGCCUUCAAUACUGGCGAUCUUGAGUAUGAGAGAGGUGUGUAGAACUCCGAGUGUAGAGGUGAAAUUCGUAGAUAUUCGGAAGAACACCAGUGGCGAAGGCGACACACUGGCUCAUUACUGACGCUGAGGCUCGAAAGCGUGGGGAGCAAACAGGAUUAGAUACCCGCGUAGUCCCUGUCUCUUAUAC
rnacentral:rRNA from 1 species